AUUGAACGCUGGCGGCAUGCUUUACACAUGCAAGUCGAACGGUAACAGGGAGCUUGCUCCGCUGACGAGUGGCGAACGGGUGAGUAAUGCGUCGGAACGUGCCGAGUAGUGGGGGAUAACGCAGCGAAAGUUGUGCUAAUACCGCAUACGUACUGAGGUAGAAAGUGGGGGACCUUCGGGCCUUACGCUAUUCGAGCGGCCGACGUCUGAUUAGCUAGUAGGUGAGGUAAAGGCUCACCUAGGCGACGAUCAGUAGCGGGUCUGAGAGGAUGAUCCGCCACACUGGGACUGGGACACGGCCCAGACUCCUACGGGAGGCAGCAGUGGGGAAUUUUGGACAAUGGGCGAAAGCCUGAUCCAGCCAUGCCGCGUGUCUGAAGAAGGCCUUCGGGUUGUAAAGGACUUUUGUCGGGGAGGAAAUCCCCAGCGUUAAUACCGCUGGGGGAUGACAGUACCUGAAGAAUAAGCACCGGCUAACUACGUGCCAGCCGCCGCAGUAAGAC
rnacentral:rRNA from 1 species